rnacentral:lncRNA from 1 species
UUAGGCCAUCCACUGUGGUGCUACCCCAUAGUGGUGCCACAUGUGUGCCACCUCAACAACUACCUCUACCCUAUAUUUUCUCCACUAUAGCACUAUCUCCUUUUCAACUAUUCAUGGACCCCACUAUCAUUUAUUACUUUUACCACAACAUAUAUAUAUACCACAAAAAAAAAAAAACAAACCAAAACUGCCGAAAGGGGGGAAAAGAGGUGGGCCAGCGCGUCUGCUGUCAUACCCAGGCGCACAGCGGGCGCGUGCAAUGCACGCGCUCCAGCUGUGCGCGCUGGGCCGCGUUUGAACUCCCUCCGCGCGUCUGCUGCAGCUGCUCGUGGGGCCCGCCUGCUGCUGCUACCAAGGUAGCAAAUUUGCUACCUUCUCGUUCUCUGCUACCCCAAUUUCCACCUCCCACUAUGGUUCUCUCCCCUCCACAUAGACAACUACCCCCCCAUAGUGGAUGGCCUUAGUCCCAGUCCCCCAUUGGCGUCAUCUGCCUCUCCGACGCCCUCCUCCGCCGCAUCCUCUCCCUCCCCACCCCGCGCC